rnacentral:tRNA from 1 species
GCAGAUGUGGCGGAAUUGGCAGACGCACUAGACUUAGGAUCUAGCGCCCUCGGCGUGCAGGUUCAACUCCUGUCAUCUGCACCA